GACAGAGGGUGCAAACGUUGUUCGGAAUUACUGGGCGUAAAGCGCGUGUAGGCGGUCCGGUAAGUCCGCUGUGAAAGUCGGGGGCUCAACCCUCGGAUGCCGGUGGAUACUGUCGGGCUAGAGUGCGGGAGAGGCGAGUGGAAUUCCUGGUGUAGCGGUGAAAUGCGCAGAUAUCAGGAGGAACACCGAUUGCGAAGGCAGCUCGCUGGAACGUUACUGACGCUGAGACGCGAAAGCGUGGGGAGCAAACAGG
rnacentral:rRNA from 1 species